rnacentral:lncRNA from 1 species
AGGCCAGUGACACAAAAUCUCAAUGUAAUAAAUGUUAAAUUCUGUCUGUAACACAACAAAAUGUGGAAGAAGUCAAGGAGUCUGAAUACUUUCUAAAGGCACCCUAUCUUAUAGGCAUAGACCUACAUGUAAUAGCCUAGCUCAUUACAGCGUUGAAAUUUAACACAGCAUUGUUUAUGCUAUCCUACCUUUUCUUCAUUCCUCCAAUAUCUGAGCUGCAUGGCUGAAAAACAAACGAAAUUGAUAUUUUCAAUUAAAUGGUUAUGCUGAAAGAUGCCUGCAAAUUUGAUUAAAUAGAUGAUGCGUUUACUGCGCUAUCCUAACGUUACCAUUUUACUUCGGCGUGCGAGCAUUUGGCCUCCCUUGAUAAAAACAAUUAUUUAAAAAAUUGCCAAUCAGCAUUGAGCUAAACUGAGCGAGCUAAAAAAAGUGUCAAGGUCCUUGCAAACCCCCCAAAAUUGUCAAGGGAAGCCAGCGUCACUCCUAUCAAAAAGCAUUUAGAGCACUAGCAUACAUCAUUGACAGAAACAACUUGAAUUGUUGUGUCUCAUUGUGUUGUUGUUGUCCUCCGGUGGCUAGCUAGCUAGCUAGCUAACGUUGGCCCUUUCCUAAAUUAGCAAUGGAUGAAGAUAGAUAUUUGGUUUUACUUAAUUAUCCGUACUGGUCAACGAUUAUAAAGCAUGCUUUUCCUGAAACACGACACCCUGCGCCAAUUAAUAAAACAUUGCUGAUGGCUGAUCACCCGAGCCCUUUCGGCUGUAUAGGUGGUGAAAGGUGACAUAAUCGUCUUUGCACAAGAUCUAGAUUGAGAUUGAGAGAUUCAGACAGAGACUGGCAGAGAGCUAGUACAGGCAGCAUGUUAAAACCGCAGCAAAGCGAGCUCCUCUUGCACGAGUCGCGGUUGUAUGGGAAGCCGUGGUUCUGGCAGCGGAAUUCCAGCACCAUGGAGAGCAGCCGGAGCCUCGCGCAGGUGAUCAUGGAGAUGCGCAACGAAAUCAAGAAGCUCGAGACCGAGAACAGUGUGCUAAGGGGGGAAAUCGGUCAGCCGACGAUUGGGACUGAGCAAGGAGAACCGAAUCCGUAUUCACCGGCAGGACAGCCCAGGAUCGGGGCUGACGACAACCCAUCCCACAUGAACCUGAGACGAAAUGCGUCCGCGCCCGCACUCGAGCGGCAAUACAAGGAGAACAUUGUAAUGACUGUCCGGAGAUACUCAAUCGCCUCCAACAUGCCAAGUGUGAUCAGGAAGAGUGAGAGCGAAGAUAGGGUGUCGAAGAAUAGAGAGGUUGCGAAAGGAAGUAACUCAAGUUGGGGUCGAAUUCACGAGGAAGUCAAUGGAAGGGCCCCAUCCGUCUUCGGGAAUUCCACGCGAGACGAGUUCAGCACCACUGCAAAGAAGUUAACCAACAGGUUAUUUCUCCAAGAAUAUGUGCACAAAAACAGGACCAAAGUAAAGACGGUCACAUUUCUUCUGCCCGUGGAUAACAUCUACACCAACCGACCAGUUCUGGCCAACCAUCUGACAGAUUUGGAUGCGAUUGCGGAGACGGAUUCGUAAAGUGAAGAUGGAUGGCGACAGGUGGCGGAACAAUAUUUCAUGUAUAGCCCAUCAAUAUGUGAAGAGCAGGGAGUUAGGGCUACAUAAAUGGGCCUGUCACACAAACAGUAUCUAGGGCAGAGUGUCAGCUACAUCGUUUUUUUAGGUCAGCCAGAAGAUUGAUUUUAUCGCACCUGACCUGAACUCCGGAACUCCACACACGGAGACUCCGGUUACAGGUGUUGUUUCCAUACGGCCGAGGUGAUCCAACGCCCGGUCAUCAGUGAUGAGCUGCCAGCCCUCCCUCUGUUGCAACACCAACAACACUCCCUCCACGGAUCAGAUGUCCAGCCCUGCAGCCCAUCGUGUCAACCUUGAGAACCUUGAGGUGACGAUCGUUUUAGUGACAGUGUGGUCUCUUUUUUUCAGAGCAAUGGGCAUGCAGCCUCUUGGUGAAUUUCAGGGUCAUCACUUGUUUUUGUUAACUAUGUAAUGUAGGGUGGCUUUGAGAAAAAAUCAAUUGGCCUAUCAAUAUUUUGCAUUGGGUCAAGACAGAGAGAACACAAAUUCGUUAGAAUCAGGGUGUUCCUUUUUACAGAUUUUAUUUUAUUCUCUCAAAUGUAAUAUUGUCCCUUCUUUUCCUUGGUAUUCAUGUACAGUAAAUGAAGUAAAUAAAUUCCCAGUGCAAGUUAUUUUAUCUGCUUUGGUUCUGCUGAAAUGAACAGUAGGCCUAUGUCAUACUGUAUAUCAUUUGUAAAUAGUCAAUAAGUACUUACUUAUUUUGUCUAACUUUAAAUAUCAUUUUGUCUUUAUUAAAUAUUUCAGUCUUAUAA